CCGCGUAGCUCAGUUUGGUAGAGCUUUCGGCUCUUAACCGAAAGGUCGAGGGAUCGAGACCCUCCGUGGG
rnacentral:tRNA from 1 species